GUAGGUGGCAAGCGUUGUCCGGAAUUAUUGGGCGUAAAGCGCGCGCAGGCGGUUCUUUAAGUCUGAUGUGAAAGCCCACGGCUCAACCGUGGAGGGUCAUUGGAAACUGGAGAACUUGGGUACAGAAGAGGAAAGCGGAAUUCCACGUGUAGCGGUGAAAUGCGUAGAGAUGUGGAGGAACACCAGUGGCGAAGGCGGCUUUCUGGUCUGUAACUGACGCUGAGGCGCGAAAGCGUGGGGAGCAAACAGGGAUUAGAUACCCUGGUAGUCCACGCCGUAAACGAUGAGUGCUAAGUGUUAGGGGGGUUUCCGCCCCCUUAGUGCUGCAGCUAACGCAUUAAGCACUCCGCCUGGGGAGUACGGCCGCAAGGCUG
rnacentral:rRNA from 1 species